AAAGAGCAGAUACAAGCCCACACAUAUCAGUGGGUAACAUUAGGGAUUCAUAGUUCUGGUUUAACUCAAAUGUUAAUGCUGGGGAUUAAGAGUUAAGAGCUCUGAUGUCAUUUUGUCUUCUGGAACCUCUGUUAAAAGUGACUGUUCCCCCCAGAUAGGCCUUUCUGCAGCAUGGCAUGGAGAAUGAUGGGCACUGUUUUCACAUCAUGUUAAACUAAUGCCAUCCCUGUCCUGCUUCCCAAGAGUGCAAGAAAUAAAGUUUUGUGUAGGCCCUGUAUUUUCCAAUGUACAGCCCAUCUCUGACAUGUAA